rnacentral:lncRNA from 1 species
CUGGAUCAAGAUUCAGAAGGAUUAAUUUGUAGCUGCUCCAACAAAUCAAGCUCAAAAUACAGAACCCAUAUCCACAUUAUUGAGCAAGCAGCUUCCUCUAACAACGAAAACAUAUCAGCAUCUCUACUAGUUAAUUGUUGUGGGUGAUACUAGAUUAUCGCCCCUAUUAUUACCAGACUCUUCUACCUUAUUAGUCAUAGGAACACACCAAGCCCAAAAUAUUAAACCUACAUUUGAUGCCAGCA